GAAAUUUUUGUCCACUUUGGACUAUUUUUGGCCGCCCCUUCUCAUCCACCACCACCACUCCCCCUCGCUCUCGCUUCUUUCCUUUUUUUUCUUUUUGUUAUUAUUUUUUCUCUCUUAAAUAAAUCUCAAAAAUUGCGUGCAUUGAAUUUGGCGACACUAUUUUGUUUGUCAAAUAACAAAUAUAACAAUAAUAGUCUCCCAUUUUUACCUUUCCUGGCUUCUUCUCUUAUCUCUCUUUAUACAAUUUUUAGUACAUAAUUGAUAUUGCUGUCAGCCUCUGCGAAAACGCCGAGAUAUUAAAAACCCCCAAUUUGUAGGGUUUUCUUAUUUCACAUUCAAGUCCCCGGGUAUUUAUGAACUUUGAUGGGUGAGUUCGAAGAUCUCGGAGCUGAGAUCAGUUCGGAUAUUGAAGUUGAUGACAUAAGGUGUGACAAUAUCACGGAGAAAGAUGUCAGUGAUGAAGAAAUUGAAUCUGAGGAAUUAGAGAGGCGGAUGUGGAAGGACCGAAUCAAGCUCAAAAGGAUUAAGGAAAGACAGAAGCUUGCGGCUCAACAAGCUGCCGAGAAGCAAAAGCCCAAGCAGACAUCUGAUCAGGCACGAAGGAAGAAAAUGUCAAGAGCCCAGGAUGGAAUUCUCAAAUACAUGUUGAAACUAAUGGAGGUUUGCAAAGCACGGGGAUUUGUGUAUGGGAUUAUUCCUGAGAAGGGUAAGCCAGUAAGUGGUGCUUCUGAUAACAUACGAGCUUGGUGGAAAGAAAAGGUGAAGUUUGAUAAGAAUGGGCCAGCAGCCAUAGCAAAGUAUGAAGCUGAGUGUCUAGCCAUGGAUGAGGCAGAAAAAGGUAGAAAUGGAAAUUCCCAAAGUGUUCUUCAAGACCUACAAGAUGCAACAUUAGGAUCUCUUCUGUCUUCUUUGAUGCAGCACUGUGACCCCCCUCAAAGGAAGUACCCUUUGGAGAAAGGUGUCCCGCCGCCUUGGUGGCCAACUGGGAAUGAGGAGUGGUGGGUAAAGUUGGGACUACCGCAAGGUCAGAGUCCUCUUUAUAAGAAACCACAUGAUUUAAAAAAAAUGUGGAAAGUCGGGGUAUUAACUGCUGUGAUAAAGCACAUGUCCCCUGAUACUGCAAAAAUCAGGAGGCAUGUCCGCCAGUCAAAAUGCUUACAGGAUAAGAUGACCGCAAAGGAGAGUGCAAUUUGGUUGAGUGUAUUGAAUCGAGAGGAAUCCCUCAUUCAGCAGCCUAGCAGUGAUAAUGGCACUUCUGGCAUAACUGAAAUGCCUCAAGGUAGGUGUGUUGGAAAGAAGCGACCUGCCAUUAGUAGUGAUAGUGAUUACGAUGUUGAUGCUGUUGAUGAUGGUAUGGGUUCGGUCUCAUCUAAGGAUAACCGGAGAAACACACCAGUGGAGGUGGAGCCAUUAAGAAGUGUUCAAAAUGACAUCCCUCGCGCUAUCCAAGAUAAAGAGCCACAGGGAAAGCAACCCAGGAGAAAAAGGCCUCGUGGGAGAAGCACUGCUGAUCAACAGUCUGGACCACUUCUCAAUGAGCAUUCACUUGCAGAGCAGAGAAACACUCUGCCUGAUAUAAACCAUGACAAUUUAUCACUAGGGGAAUAUCAGAUAAAUGGCAGUGAAAGGGAAAAUGAUACAGCUACUGGUGUGAGGGCUUUGGAAAAUGGUCUUGAAGGUAGAACUGAUUUAGUGCCAUCAGAAUUUGACUACUUUAAUGCAAUUCCCUCUGCCAAUGAUGGUGCUGUGGGGAACAUGCAUGUGGAUGGAAGGUCCAUGAUGUAUCCGGACUUACAAAAUUCUGAGUUGCAUCAUGAAAAUCCGUAUAAUAUCUAUAAUCAAUCAGUUGAGUACCAACCUUCUCAUGAUGGACGGAUGUCUCAAACAACAAUUGCUGCUCCACAGAUCGGAACACAGAAUGACAGGGGCCAUAUACAAGCACUACAUAGUGAUGGAAAUGAGAUUGUUGGGGGAGACUUGCAUCAUCCGUUUUCAAGUGAACUACCUUUUGGGUCUCCACUAAAUAAUCUGUCAUUAGAUUAUGGAGCAAUCUCCAGUCCGUAUAUGGACAUUGACUUCUUACUUAGUGAAGAGGAUAUGAUCCAAUGCUUUGGUGCAUAACUCUUCAACAAUUUAACCCUUCAGAUUAUAGAUGGGAUGGCUAGAAAUGCAGCUAGUUUAUAUGUUGCCAUUCCAGAUGUCAUCAUAUGUGCAUAUCCAGACUGUUUCUAACGUUCAUGGUUAUUUUUAUGGCGGUGUUUCUAUCUUUUGUCUAUUCUUCUCGUACACGUUUACAGAUUCGAGUAGCAGAAGAUCAUACAGCUAAUGUCACACAGGAUCUUGAUAGCCAUCUGGUUAAGAGUCUGGGAAAGGGAGCUUCAGCUAUAUAUGUAGAGGAUUCGGCAAGAGAAGUGCCAACUGGACCAGAUCCUCUUCAUCACAACAGAAACCCUACAAGGCCAUGAGCUCUUUCAAGGAAAAGAAAAAGAAACCUCUUUUGUUGGAUCUUUUGGGUUUUUAGUGACCUCUGCUAUUCACUCUCAUUGUUUAUAGUUUGCUUCAGGAUAGCUUUAUCUAUGACUAUAGCUGGUGUUUUCUAACUUCUGUUAUUGAUCAUAUUCCAGAAAGGGCCAGACCAGUAUAUGGGUUUAUUUGUUUAUUGAUACUAGUUUAACAUGUAAAGUCUUAUCAUAUCAUGUUCAUAUGCCAUUCAGCUCUGCCUUUCUUUCA